CGUGGAUGAAAAGGAUGGACGUUUUUACCUUAGGACGGUUGGCAAAGAAAUUAUAAAACAAGACGACAGAACUAGAACAAAACCCAUACCUACUAGGAUAUGAAGGGAAAUACAUGUUUUAUUUUAUAAAAGAGUUGUUAUAAUUUUGUAAAAAAAACUUAGUACAGACUGAAGCUACCGUCUCGUCGUGGAGGUAUUUGUCAGCAUUGAGGUUAGCCUAGCAUCGUGUGACACUGGGAGAUAAUUGCUUGGGAAGCUUAACGAGUUCGUGUUCCCAUGGGAUAUCGGUUACGGCUAAGGAGUACUGUCUGCAUGGGUAGCUGUGCUUGCCUUGGACUUUGUGAGGAAACCUGCAUGGAACUGCCAUACUUCGCUGAGGGAAUAUCUACCAAGCAAGCCUGAUAGAUCAGGGAAGAGACCCUUCCUAGUUGUUGCUGUGUUUCUGGGGCUACUGUGUGUUCUACUGGCUGGGAUCAUAGGCCUGUCUGUCUACUAUAACAGAGCCAUUAAAGAUUCUGAGGAUAAAAGGAACACCUUGUUCCAGAGUUUCUCCCUUUAUAAAAUCAACGCAACUGAAGAGAGAGACCAGUUACAGACCAGAUACAACAACCUGACUAGAGAGAAAGGCCAUAUUCAGGCAAAGCGUUUUGUGAUAGAGCAGCAUUGUCAGGAGGGAUGGAGAAAAUUUGACUCGAGGUUGUACCUCCUCUCUACUGAGAAGAAAACCUGGAAGGAGAGCAGAGGACUGUCUGGAGAGAGGAGCAGACCUGGUGAUCAUAAACAGCAGAGAGGAACAGACAUUUCUCUUCAACCUCCACAUGAGAGCCUGGAUUGGUCUGACUGACUCUGUUACUGAGGGGACCUGGAAGUGGGUGGACGGCACAACACUGACCACAGGGUACUGGGGGAGAGGACAGCCUGAUAAUGGUGGUCUGUUCUCUGGGCAGCAGGACUGUGUUGAGAUAUACUAUAGACAAGAUGACCCUGUACAGACAUGGAAUGAUGACAAAUGUGGGACAAAUCAUAACUGGAUCUGUGAGAAAGUGGUGUAACAAUAACCUACUGUAACAAUCUCUCUCUUUGCCUCUCUCUUUCUCUCAAAGUUUUUUGUUGAUGUUUGGAUACAGUGCUGAAUGAUUAAGUGAUGAAUCCACCUAGUGGCUAAAGUGAGAGAUGAACUCACCAUAGAAGUGAAAUAGUGGUAUUACAGACUUGUCUAUGAGCUCUUUUUCAAUUUGGCUUUACUCGAUUCCUCCUCACAUCCUCUCUCCUCCCCUCCUUCUCAAAACACAUUGGAGAAUACAAUCCUAGUGGAGGGGCCUUGGACCUUCUCCUCUGACAGGGUUGAAAGGAGGAGAAGAGAUAGGAGGAGAGGAAUCUAGGAAAGUCUAAUUGAGAUAGAGCCUUAUUGUCAGAGAGAGACAUAGAGGAGGAGGAAGAAAAUUAAGAGAAUGAGGAAGAGAGAAAAAAUAAGACAAAUAAUUGUUGUGUUUAGAUUUAGAGGAGAGAAUGUAGACAUACUGUACUCUGUAAAAUGAUUCUUCAUUAUUUCUAUUAGAAACAUGUCAUGUGAUUUGCCAUAGGCUUAUGCUUAGUAAAAAACAAGUGAGUCCAGUUAUUAAUCUAUGAUUAUCACUUCAAUAAUAAGAAUAACAAAGUCACAGAUUAAUAAAUAAAGGAACAAUGUUCUUUAACAAGGUCUACCAGCUUCCU